rnacentral:rRNA from 1 species
UACCUGCAGCUCGAGUGGUGAUCGUUAUUAUUGGGCCUAAAACGUCCGUAGCCGGUCUUCUAAAUGCCUGGGUAAAUCGUAUGGCUUAACCAUACGAAUUCCGGGUAGACUGUUAGACUUGAGACCGGGAGAAGCUAGAGGUACUCCUGGGGUAGAGGUGAAAUUCUGUAAUCCUAGGGGGACGACCAGUGGCGAAGGCGUCUAGCUAGAACGGGUCUGACGGUGAGGGACGAAGCCCUGGGGCGCAAACGGGAUUAGAUACCCCGGUAGUCCAGGGUGUAAACGCUGCUUGCUUGAUGUUAGUCUGGCUCCGAGCCAGAUUAGUGUCGGAGAGAAGUUGUUAAGCAAGCUGCCUGGGAAGUACGGCCGCAAGACUGAA